GGCGCGGUAGCCAAGUGGUAAGGCCAAGGUCUGCAAAACCUUUAUUCGUCGGUUCAAUUCCGACCCGCGCCUCCA
rnacentral:tRNA from 1 species